rnacentral:rRNA from 1 species
GACGAACGCUGGCGGCGUGCUUAACACAUGCAAGUCGAGCGGUAAGGCCCUUCGGGGUACACGAGCGGCGAACGGGUGAGUAACACGUGGGUGAUCUGCCUCGUACUCUGGGAUAAGCCUGGGAAACUGGGUCUAAUACCGGAUAUGACCACGAAUCGCAUGGUUUGUGGUGGAAAGAUUUAUCGGUGCGAGAUGGGCCCGCGGCCUAUCAGCUUGUUGGUGGGGUAAUGGCCUACCAAGGCGACGACGGGUAGCCGCCCUGAGAGGGUGACCGGCCACACUGGGACUGAGACACGGCCCAGACUCCUACGGGGGGCAGCAGUGGGGAAUAUUGCACAAUGGGAGAGAGCCUGAUGCAGCGACGCCGCGUGAGGGAUGACGGCCUUCGGGUUGUAAACCUCUUUCGACAGGGACGAAGCGCAAGUGACGGUACCUGUAGAAGAAGCACCGGCCAACUACGUGCCAGCCGCCGCCGUAA